AUCGUUUUGCAAUAUGUUUUCAGUGAUAUAUUUAUCACACAUGCAUGCAGUGUAGACAUCUUGGCGAUGGAAAAGCAUAAACAAAAACACGCGACACAGUUUUAAGAUUCCUAAUUUUGAUUUCUUGCCAUAUAGUGCAUACUUUAUACCUGUAUGGGUAUACAAGUCUAUCUAUGACUAUGUAAUCUCAAUGCCAGUCAGUCUGCCCGUACUGAAUAAUGGUUAUAGAUGGA